rnacentral:tRNA from 1 species
GAGGGUAUAGCUCAGUGGUAUAGGGCAUGCCUAGCAUGCAUGAGGUCCUGGGUUCAAGCCCCAGUACCUCCA